rnacentral:rRNA from 1 species
AGAGUUUGAUCCUGGCUCAGGAUGAACGCUGGCGGCGUGCCUAACACAUGCAAGUCGAACGGAGAAUGUAGCAAUACGUUCUUAGUGGCGAACGGGUGAGUAACGCGUUGGUGACCUGCCCCGAAGCGGGGGAUAACAGUCCGAAAGGAUUGCUAAUACCCCAUGUGGUCAUUGGGAUUAGAUGCCCGAUGAUUAAAGGUGUAAACCACUUCGGGAGGGGCCUGCGUCCCAUCAGCUAGUUGGUAGGGUAAUGGCCUACCAAGGCUUCGACGGGUAGGGGACCUGAGAGGGUGACCCCCCACAAUGGAACUGAAACACGGUCCAUACACCUACGGGUGGCAGCAGUGAGGAAUAUUGGUUAAUGGGCGAAAGCCCGAACCAGCAACGCCGCGUGUGCGAUGAAGGCCUUCGGGUUGUAAAGCACUUUUGGAGGGGAAGAGAAGGGACGGUACCCUCCGAAUAAGCCUCGGCUAACUACGUGCCAGCAGCCGCGGUAAG